rnacentral:sRNA from 1 species
UAGGUCUAUAGGUCUGUCCUGCAUAAUUUGUAGCUCUGCGGGUCAAUGAAAGACGAAAUGUUGAUUGACUCAAAAUGCGACGGAUCUCCAUUUUUCUCUCUAGUCUAUCAAACACAGUCUUUUGUUUGUGCUUUUAGUUGCAAAAAUGUGUGAAAUUAUGUUCCUUUUAUUCUUUAGUCUGUUCAGAUAAAAAUAUUCUUAAUAUAUGUCUGAAAUUGAGUUCGUUAUAAAUUUUAAUUAUAU